rnacentral:rRNA from 1 species
UACACUCCGCGGGAAGCAGCAGUGAGGAAUAUUGGACAAUGGGUGGAAGCCUGAUCCAGCCAUCCCGCGUGCAGGAAGACGGCCCUAUGGGUUGUAAACUGCUUUUAUCUGGGGAUAAACCUACUUACGUGUAAGUAGCUGAAGGUACCAGAAGAAUAAGCACCGGCUAACUCCGUGCCAGCAGCCGCGGUAAUACGGAGGGUGCAAGCGUUAUCCGGAUUUAUUGGGUUUAAAGGGUCCGUAGGCGGACUGAUAAGUCAGUGGUGAAAUCCGACAGCUUAACUGUCGAACUGCCAUUGAUACUGUUAGUCUUGAGUAAGGUUGAAGUGGCUGGAAUAAGUAGUGUAGCGGUGAAAUGCAUAGAUAUUACUUAGAACACCAAUUGCGAAGGCAGGUCACUAAGUCUUAACUGACGCUGAUGGACGAAAGCGUGGGGAGCGAACAGGAUUAGAAACCCGUGUAGUCCC